rnacentral:lncRNA from 1 species
GUAAAACUACUCAUGUUCUUUUGUUGUAAAAUUUUCACUGAUUGUAUAAUGUAAGACUAGUUGAAAGUAGACCAAAAAGACAACUUGUGACUUCAUUAUCUUGCCUGAGUAGAAUAGUAUUGAUUGAGGAAAACUGAUCGUCAUUAGCCAGUCUCACUCAUUAUAAGUCUGUUGGUUUAUGUUGUACUAAACUAGUGAAUUAGUGAAAGUAAAGGAAAUGGCUCAUUUUAUCUAAAGGCACAUGUGCAAAGAAACUGGGCCAAAUAUGUUCUAAAUAUUUGGAGUUCAUCUAUUUGAAUUCUCUUAGAAAAUUCAGGUCAUUUAGGAAGUUGGUUCUCAGCUUCUGACUGAGAGCUGGCCUGGAGCUUCCCAUCUUCACUCUGCGGUGCUGAGGGGGAGGAUGACAUGCCAUUGGAUGCUUUUCAGAAACAGUAGUUUACUCUGACAACAUUGGAGUAGCUUUUUCAGCUAGAAAGCUAAGAAGCUCAACAUUACUGUAGAGAUUAUUGCUUCCCACGAGCAUGAACACAUUACUUGUGUUAAACUCUAUAGGUGUAAAGGGAAUCACUGCGGAUUUUGAUAGGAACCCCGCCUGAUGCUUUUUGGUUUGUUUCAGGCAGGGUCUUCAUAUCGAGAAGCUCUUUUACUUGGUAGCAUUUUUUGAUUAGGAAUGAACCUCAGCCUUUCUGCCCAGUCAUACAGAGCCUCAAAGGCCAAGGUUAUUUUGUCAUUUCUUUGUUGGUUUUGGUUUUUGUUUGUAAACAGGAUUCCGUAUAACCUGAGCUAGCCUCAAAUGUACUAUGUAGCCGAGGAUGAUCCUCAUGCCUCCACCGUGUCAGUGCUAAGAUUAUAGGUGCUGUCACUACACCUGGUUUUUUGAGAUCCUGGGCACUGAACCCAGGGCCUCAUGCAUGCUAGGCAAGCACUAUACCAGCUGAACUACAUCCCAGGCCCUUGACAUUGAAUUAUGAUUCUUGAGCUCUGUUUUGCUAACUAAGUCUAUGGAGCAUUGACUGUUCUCUAAUGAGAACAAACUUGGAAAUCUGCUGAUUACCUACAAUAAUUUAGACAUAGGCUAAAAGUGUGAAGUCAAGCCAGGUGUGGUGGCAUGUGCUUGUAAUCCUAGCACUUACAAGGCUGAAACAGGAUCACAAGUUUAGGGCAGAACUGGGCUAUCUUAAUGAACCCCUGUCUUAACCCCAACCCCCAAAAAGCGAACCCAAGGACUAAUGCGAUAGCUAAAUCAAAAUGGCGUGCAGGACGCAUGCUGUACAUCAGGCUUUUCUGCCAUACUCCUCGACUAUUACUUGACUGAAGAGCCUCUUGUUUUCUUCUCCUUGGAGACUGUUUUCCCUUCUUAAUGUGUUUUCAUAACAAUGUUACUGAGAAUCUGCGUGUUUUGUACUUCCAUUCUUUAAAGGAUGUAUAAUUGCCAGAUGUGGCUCAUGCCUAUAAUACUAACACUCAGGAGGCUAAGGCAGGAAAGUUUUCACACAGGUUCAAGACCAGAAUUAGAUACACAGUGAGACCUUAUCUUUAAAGAAGUUAUACAAAUUUUAAAGGGUACAAUUAAGUAACUUUAAAUAUACUCACAAAAUUAUGCAACCACUUGAUAAAUCUAGGCCAUUUCACUCCUCUCCAAGAAGCCCUGUAUUCUUUAGUAGUCACCUCUGAUUUCCUCCCAGUUUGUCCCACGUAGGUCCUAGGAAACCAAUAGUUUAUUAUAUGCAUAAUCUGAUCAUUUACUAUAAAUGAGUUAAUGCAAUAUUUAGUCACUUAGUUUCAUAAAUAUGGUUUCCUACGUGGGAUAAAUGCUCAUUCUGAGAACUCAGAACCCAGUACAGUGACAGAAAGUGUCUGGGUUUGUAAAUCUGGUAGGAAGCUUGCCUAGCACGUGCGAGACCCUAGGCUCACUCACAGUAUCCCAGGAAAAAAAAAAGCUAGUUGAUAAAUCAAUGGAUUUAAAGAGGGAAAGCCAGAUACCUGGCAGACUCUAGAGUUAAUCUUAUUAAAUAGAGUACUUUUCCUCCUAGCCAAACAUUCAUUCUAUACUACUGCUUCUAACUUACAUUCUAGUUCCUCCCAGCUCUGCUUUGGUUUUGCCAAGACAGGGUUUCUCUGUGUAGCCCUGGCUAUUCUGGAACUCACUUUGUAGACCAGGCUAGACUCCAACUCACAGAGAUCCACCUGCCUCUGCCUUCCAAGUGUUGGGAUUAAAGGCGUGCACCAUCAGUGCCCAGCCCAUUCUCGUUUCUACAAUGGAUAUUAAAAUGUCUUCUUGUCUUCUCAGCCAAGAAAAUCCUGCUU